CAGCAGCCGCGGGAAUACGAAGGGUGCAAGCGUUAAUCGGAAUUACUGGGCGUAAAGCGUGCGUAGGCGGUUCGUUAAGUCUGUUGUGAAAGCCCCGGGCUCAACCUGGGAAUGGCAAUGGAUACUGGCGAGCUAGAGUGUGUCAGAGGAUGGUGGAAUUCCCGGUGUAGCGGUGAAAUGCGUAGAGAUCGGGAGGAACAUCAGUGGCGAAGGCGGCCAUCUGGGACAACACUGACGCUGAGGCACGAAAGCGUGGGGAGCAAACAGGAUUAGAUACCCCAGUAGUCCCUGUCUCUUAUAC
rnacentral:rRNA from 1 species